GUUUUGGUGACUAUGGCCUUAUAGUACGGUUUCAAGUCAGGCCGGAGCAUGUAAUUGCUGGAGUGGGAUCCUUCAUGGAUUUCUCUUAUCCUGGCAUUGACAAUGAUAGAAGAGGAGGCCCCUCCUUCUACCUGGGUAACUGUGAUUAACAGACACAGAAUGGACGUGUGCUGAGAAAGAAAUCGUUGCUAUGUUAAGGUAAAAAUCGGUAGCAAAUUCACUCAGAUUCAGAAGGAAGAACAGAAGCUUCAUCUCUCAAUGAGAGGAUUGCCCUAUCAGUACUUCCAAAAGUGAAAAUGGGAACUGCAUUAAAAGACAAAAAUUGCCACAGCCACUCCAACCUUUAGCAACCACCACCCUGGUCAGUGAGCAGCCAACCAUUGAAGGUAGGACCCUUAAGCAAAACCGUUAUGAAUAACUGAAGGCUCGGAUGACUGUUACCAUAUUUAAAUUAAUGUAUGUACUGGUUUUUACAGAUUUAAUGCUAUUGCACACU